UAUAUGGUGUAGUAGUGGUUUGCAUGUUGGACUAUGAUUCUGGAGACCAGGGUUCAAAUCCCUGCUUGAGCA